UCUUCAUUGCACCAAUUAGAUUUAAAAUUCUACUAGAAAGUUCCUAUAAAGUAUUUGAUUGGAUCAACAUUUUCGGUUGAAAACUUGUUUACAGGACAUACGAAAUUAUCGGAAAACGAUUUUGGAGCAUUAAAAAUUAAUUUAAAUAUAAAUAUCUUAUAUAUCCUAUAUAACAUAGAUAUUUAUAGGUUAAGUUAGAUUAGAUUAUAUAUUGUUUAUUUAGUGUGAACUAACCAACUUGUAUGGAAAAUAAAAAUACUAUAACGAUUUUGACUGCUGAGAAAUCUACUAAUUUCAACUACAGUUUAAUAAGCAUAGAUACGUUUAUUUUAUAUUAAUAUUUUUCUGAACCAUAUAAAAAUAAGCAAAAUUAUUAUGACAAAUCUUUGAUAAGUAGACAACAUUAAAUUGAUCUGAAAAUGACUGACACGAUUUAGUUUUGUAUUGUCACUUCCUUAUCACCUGUAUAAUACUAAUGACAAGUAGAUUUAUUUUCGUGAACUAUUCUAUAAAACACCCACUUGAAUAUUUUACACAAUAGAUUGAAUUAGGUAUUUUGAAACCAGUACCUACCUAUAACCUAUAAUAUAAAAAGUGAAUACUAUAA